CAGAAAAUAGUUUAUUAAAAAUAAUAAUUUUGGAGAUUAUUGAAAAAAGAAUUCUUUUUUUUCUGA
rnacentral:tRNA from 1 species